GUGCCAGCCGCCGCGGUAAUACGAAGGGGGCAAGCGUUGUUCGGAUUUACUGGGCGUAAAGGGCGCGUAGGCGGAUCUGCAAGUCAGAGGUGAAAGCCCUGGGCUCAACCCGGGAAUGGCCUUUGAGACUGCAAGUCUUGAGUGCGAGAGAGGGUGGCGGAAUACCCAGUGUAGAGGUGAAAUUCGUAGAUAUUGGGUAGAACACCGGUGGCGAAGGCGGCCACCUGGCUCGCAACUGACGCUGAGGCGCGAAAGCGUGGGGAGCAAACAGGAUUAGAUACCCUGGUAGUCCACGCCGUAAACGAUGUGUGCUAGCCGUUGGUGACCUUUUUGGUCGUCGGUGGCGCAGCUAACGCGAUAAGCACACCGCCUGGGGAGUACGGCCGCAAGGUUAAA
rnacentral:rRNA from 1 species